AACGCGUAUGCACACACCGCCCGUCAGGCGGAUAGCCGGGUGGAAACGCCGGAUAAUACGCCAUGCGCCCGUUGGGGGGCAUCCCCCAGCGGGCAAAGCGGAGACGCGGAGGGGGACGGGCAUGCGUGCCAUUAGCUUGUUGGCGGGGCGACGGCCCACCAAGGCGACGAUGGCUAGGGGAUCUGAGAGGACGGUCCCCCACACUGGUACUGAGACACGGACCAGACUCCUGCGGGAGGCAGCAGUAAGGGAUAUUGGGCAAUGGGGGGAACCCUGACCCAGCCAUGCCGCGUGAGGGAAGUAGGCCCUACGGGUCGUGAACCUCUUUUAUUCGGGGACAAGGGCGCGGUCGCGAACCGUGCUUGAGGGUACCGAAGGAAUAAGCGUCGGCUAACUCCGUGCCAGCAGCCGCGGUAAUACGGAGGACGCGAGCGUUAUCCGGAUUCAUUGGGUUUAAAGGGUGCGCAGGCGGCCUGUCAAGUCAGCGGUGAAAGCCCGGGGCCCAACCCCGGAAGUGCCGUUGAUACUGUCGGGCUGGAAUGCGGUCGAGGCGGGCGGAAUGUGGCGUGUAGCGGUGAAAUGCGUAGAUAUGCCACAGAACGCCGAUAGCGGAGGCAGCUCGCCAGGCCUGCAUUGACGCUCGGGCACGAAAGCGUGGGGAUCGAACAGGAUUAGAUACCCUGGUAGUCCACGCCGUAAACGAUGGGCGCUCGUCGUCGGCGAUAGAAUGUCGGCGGCCAAGCGAAAGCGAUAAGCGCCCCACCUGGGGAGUACGGUCGCAAGGCUGAAACUCAAAGGAAUUGACGGGGGCCCGCACAAGCGGAGGAACAUGUGGUUUAAUUCGAUGAUACGCGAGGAACCUUACCCGAGCUUGAAUUGCAGGAGAACGACCCAGAGAUGGGAAGGCCCUUCGGGGCUCCUGUGAAGGUGCUGCAUGGUUGUCGUCAGCUCGUGCCGUGAGGUGUCGGCUCAAGUGCCAUAACGAGCGCAACCCCCCUCUUCAGUUGCCAUCAGGCUAUGCUGGGCACUCUGCGGACACUGCCACCGUAAGGUGCGAGGAAGGUGGGGAUGACGUCAAAUCAGCACGGCCCUUACGUCCGGGGCUACACACGUGUUACAAUGGCCGGUACAGAGCGCCGCGCGCCCGCAAGGUCGCGCCAAUCGCGAAACCCGGCCUCAGUUCGGACUGGGGUCUGCAACCCGACCCCACGAAGCUGGAUUCGCUAGUAAUCGCGCAUCAGCCAUGGCGCGGUGAAUACAAGGCCGGGCCUUGCACUCACCGCCCGUCAAG
rnacentral:rRNA from 1 species